rnacentral:rRNA from 1 species
UGGCCAGACUCCUACGGGAGGCAGCAGUGAGGAAUAUUGGUCAAUGGGCGCGAGCCUGAACCAGCCAAGUCGCGUGAGGGAGGACGGCCCUACGGGUUGUAAACCUCUUUUGCCGGGGAGCAACGGGCGUCACGUGUGGCGCCACUGAGAGUACCCGGAGAAAAAGCAUCGGCUAACUCCGUGCCAGCAGCCGCGGUAAUACGGAGGAUGCGAGCGUUAUCCGGAUUUAUUGGGUUUAAAGGGUGCGCAGGCGGAAUGUCAAGUCAGCGGUAAAAUUUCGGGGAUCAACCCCGUCGUGCCGUUGAAACUGGCGUUCUUGAGUGAGCGAGAAGUAUGCGGAAUGCGUGGUGUAGCGGUGAAAUGCAUAGAUAUCACGCAGAACUCCGAUUGCGAAGGCAGCAUACCGGCGCUCAACUGACGCUCAUGCACGAAAGCGUGGGUAUCGAACAGGAUUAGAUACCCUAGUAUA